CAUGGUCCGGUGAAGUGUUCGGAUCGCGCCGACGUGGGCGCUUCGUCGCUCGCGACGUCGUGAGAAGUUCACUGAACCUUAUCAUUUAGAGGAAGGAGAAGUCGUAACAAGGUUUCCGUAGGUGAACCUGCGGAAGGAUCAUUGUCGAAACCCUGGCCACCAGAACGACCCGCGAACCAGUUGCGCGAAUACGAGGAGAUCGCGGGGGGCCUCGGCCCCCUCGUCUCCCCGAAACAACAACCAAACCCCCGGCGCGAGUCGCGUCAAGGAAAUCCAACCAGAAGAUCGCCGUCCCAGUCCCAGGAAAGGGGUCAGGGGGCGGCGGGCCUUCGCAUCGAACAAACGAAAACGACUCUCGGCAACGGAUAUCUCGGCUCUCGCAUCGAUGAAGAACGUAGCGAAAUGCGAUACUUGGUGUGAAUUGCAGAAUCCCGGGAACCAUCGAGUCUUUGAACGCAAGUUGCGCCCGAAGCCGUUAGGCCGGGGGCACGUCUGCCUGGGUGUCACGCACCGUCGCCCCAAACCCACCUCCACCGGAGGGAGUUACGGGGCGGAUGUUGGUCUCCCGUUAGCCGCGGCUCGCGGUUGGCCCAAAUUUGCAGUCCUCGGCGGAGGACGCCACGACGAUCGGUGGUUUUGGCCCUCGGAGUCGGUCGUGCGCGAACUCCCCCGCACGGGACCCAAAUGCGUUCCUCGCGAGCGCUGCCCACGCGACCCCAGGUCAGGCGGGACUACCCGCUGAGUUUAAGCAUAUCAAUAAGCGGAGGAAAAGAAACUUACCAGGAUUCCCCUAGUAACGGCGAGCGAACGGGGGAAUUCUA
rnacentral:rRNA from 1 species